CAAUCACAAAGGGGAAGUCUUCGGACUGCCUCUCUCACUGGUGAGUUCCACUGCAGAUUCUACAUGCUCAGUCCGUGGAAAAGCUGUCGACAAGGGCCAACUGGCGCCAGUGGUGCGGGACAGACCAGAAAAACUAUGGCCACAGGCUCUCACAAAUAUGGCCCCGACACUGAUGACUUUAUGCUUUGCUAAGUUAAGCUAACCAGCUGCUGCCUGUAGCUUUCAGCUUUAACGUACAGACAUGAGCUGUUUUGAUGCCAGUACAACAAACCUGCCAUGUCUGCGACUGCCCCACACAUCUGUUUUGUCAUCUUUGCACACUUAACAGAUUCAUGUCCUGUGUCUGAGACGAUCACGCCCACAUGCUUGCCUCGACAUAAUUUCAUCAGGCCUCACAAUUCAAAGCUUUUGCGAAAUACGAAUACAUGGGAAGCUCGUCGUCAGUGGUUUCCUGAGAACAGGAUACCACUUGAGUGCAGCGCACCUUGUCCUUAUGUCCUAUUGUGUGCUGUGUGAACGAGGAAGCCGUCCAUGGAUGCCGACGCCGCAACACGCAUCCUGUUCUAUCCAGUUCCUUUGAGUCGUUCUCAGGCCGGAUACAGACAUCGUAGUCUCUGAUCAUCCAUGAGUUCAAAGCAAUCUACAAACUUCAAGAUAAAGAUAGAGACAAAGAGUCACACAUCUCAUUGUUUUGUCUUUAAUUUAGCACAAAUCCCUCCUCAUACAAUCAGUUAUUUAAAGCUUGACGAGUGAAACAGCCUUCAGCCCAUAUAUUGUGUCCUGAUACGAUCUUAAUUACAGGGCGAUGAAGGCCUUAUGUACUACAAGCCUGUUGAGUAGUCGACUCCCCGCUGUUUUGAAGAUGGUUUGUUUACAGCUGAAAGGAAAGUAACAGCUCCCUUCAUCGUGUACUGUAUAUACUUAAACACAUGACGCUGCAUUUGCAAUAAAACAAUCUUUUGUCGGGUGUAA